UACGUAGGGGGCAAGCGUUGUCCGGAUUUAUUGGGCGUAAAGAGCGUGUAGGCGGCUUGGUAGGUCCGCUGUGAAAACUCGAGGCUCAACCUCGAGAUGUCGGCGGAAACCACUUGGCUAGAGUCCGGAAGAGGAGAGUGGAAUUCCUGGUGUAGCGGUGAAAUGCGCAGAUAUCAGGAAGAACACCGAUGGCGAAGGCAGGUCUCUGGGCCACUACUGACGCUGAGAAGCGAAAGCAUGGGGAGCGAACAGG
rnacentral:rRNA from 1 species